rnacentral:piRNA from 1 species
UACCAGGACCAUUCUGAUUUUAUUACAA